AGUGAACGCUGGCGGUAGGCCUAACACAUGCAAGUCGAACGGCAGCACAGUAAGAGCUUGCUCUUACGGGUGGCGAGUGGCGGACGGGUGAGGAAUACAUCGGAAUCUACUUUUUCGUGGGGGAUAACGUAGGGAAACUUACGCUAAUACCGCAUACGACCUACGGGUGAAAGCAGGGGAUCUUCGGACCUUGCGCGAUUGAAUGAGCCGAUGUCGGAUUAGCUAGUUGGCGGGGUAAAGGCCCACCAAGGCGACGAUCCGUAGCUGGUCUGAGAGGAUGAUCAGCCACACUGGAACUGAGACACGGUCCAGACUCCUACGGGAGGAAGCAGUGGGGAAUAUUGGGCAAUGGGCGCAAGCCUGAUCCAGCCAUACCGCGUGGGUGAAGAAGGCCUUCGGGUUGUAAAGCCCUUUUGUUGGGAAAGAAAAGCAGCAGGUUAAUACCCCGCUGUUCUGACGGUACCCAAAGAAUAAGCACCGGCUAACUUCGUG
rnacentral:rRNA from 1 species